UACGUAGGGGGCAAGCGUUGUCCGGAUUUAUUGGGCGUAAAGAGCGUGUAGGCGGCCAAGUAGGUCUGCUGUGAAAACUCGAGGCUCAACCUCGAGCUGUCGGCGGAAACCACUUGGCUAGAGUCCGGAAGAGGAGAGUGGAAUUCCUGGUGUAGCGGUGAAAUGCGCAGAUAUCAGGAAGAACACCCGUGGCUAAGGCGGCUCUCUAGUACGGUACUGACGCUGAGACGCGAAAGCGUGGGGAGCGAACAGG
rnacentral:rRNA from 1 species